rnacentral:tRNA from 1 species
GUCUCAGUAGCAUAGUGGUUAGUGCACAGCCCCGGUUAGGUUAAGACGCUGAUUCGAAUCCGCCUGAGAUG